rnacentral:rRNA from 1 species
GUUAGGAAUUUUGCACAAUGGGGGAAACCCUGAUGCAGCAACGCCGCGUGGAUGAAGAAGGCCUUCGGGUCGUAAAAUCCUUUUCAACGGGAAGAUAAUGACGGUACCGUUGGAAUAAGCAUCGGCUAACUACGUGCCAGCAGCCGCGGUAAUACGUAGGAUGCAAGCGUUAUCCGGAUUUACUGGGCGUAAAGAGCGCGUAGGUGGUUUUGUAAGUUGGGCGUGAAAGCCCCCGGCUUAACUGGGGAGGGUCGCUCAAUACUGCAGGACUUGAGGGUGGAAGAGGAGACUGGAAUUCCCGGUGUAGUGGUGAAAUGCGUAGAUAUCGGGAGGAACACCUGUGGUGAAGACGAGUCUCUGGGCCACUCCUGACACUGAGGCGCGAAAGCGUGGGGAGCGAACGGAAUUAGAUACCCGGGUAGUCC